UACGAAGAGAUACGACAAGACUUGCUACAGCCAAAGGUGCAUCAAUCGCUUGUGUAGAUGCCUCUCACAAGAGAAAGAAUGGUCAUUUUGGUCAAUCAAGGACCAAUGGGCCAGAUUUUCUUUCACCAAACACUCUCCUAUGUAUUAAAGAAAACAGUUCUUGAUCGAAAAGAAAAAGAGUUUAUACGCGAAGCGCGUGGCGUACCGGAAGUGUAAGAAAUUGUGAGGCUGCGACAGAUGAAUGUCCAGAAAGUUGAUCGUCUUUUGUAGGACCAAGUCUUUCUGUAACAAUUGGAGCACUUAAGCUUGCAAAAAUUAUCGGUGUUGCCGGAGGUUUGACAAACUUGCUUUUUCAAAAGUGACGAACACAAUCAACCACUUGUAUGGCAAUGGUGUAAUGUAUAUUCGCAAUUGAAUUAUUUCAGGAUUUACAAAGAGAAACGGCAAGACUUGCCAAAGAUGCAUCAACUCCUGUAGUGAUAUCGAUGCUUCUCAGAAAGAUUCUCCAUUUUUUUUUAUUCCUCUGGCACAUCACGCGUUUCGCAUAUAGCUUCUUUUCUUCUACGCAUAAUAACUCCGCUAGUGAGCAUAUAUAAUGACAAAAUGAAAUAGAUGAUAACCUUGAAUUGUAUACACGAGGAAUAGUCCCGCGUAGACACAGUAAUAACCGUAAGAGUAGAGUAGUCGGUGGAAAAGCAACGAUGUCAGAUACGCAUAAUUGUAAUUUAAAAAAAUGGGUGAAACCUAAUUGUCAUUCCAUUUUAUAUGUUCCUACCUUAUUUAGGUCGAGUUAAUUCGGGAAAAAUGUUUCUUCGUAUUCCUAUAUUGGCUGAUGACAUUAUUCCGGGUCCAUAACUUUAGUAAUGUCCAACAAUCAAUUUGGUAAUCAAACGCCGCGCGUUUGAAAGUUGAGUUUUUGUGGAAUAUUUUUCGAGAGGUUUUUUCGAAUUCGUGUAUUUGUUUAAAAGUUAUCACGCCUUAUAAGUGAGAUAGAACAAAGAAGAUGUAUUUUGAAAUUUUAUUACGAGGAAAAGAAUAAUGCCACUCCAACUCUUGAAAAAAUUUAGAAUCGAUGCGUUAUAAAUGGACAUCGCACAUGGUUAUAUCAAACGUUUCCAAUAUGGAAGAUAUGAUGUAGUGGUGGAAGACAUAGACUAGGAACCAACCAUCGGUCACAAAACAGUUCUACAUCAUUUGAAGAAUGCUGGAUGUAAAAAGAUAUCCAAUGUUCAUGUUCCAUAUGAUCAAAUAGUGAAGCGUUUAAUGGAUUUCUGUCUGCGAAUCGUUAUUAGGACCUAACGAAACCGAUGCACUCUUGAAACGGGCCAUUAUGUGCGAUAAUCUAUGAAAAGGAUCAUGAUCCAUGGAAGGAGAAUCAACCGUUGUCGCGCCGUUCAAACUAUUGAUCAUAAUCUCUUCUCUAAACAAUCGGAAAAUGAUUUGCUUUUGCAUUAAAAUACGAAGAAACCUUUUCCUCUAACUUAAUAUCUUGAUUAGUAAUGUCAUUGGUUGAUAUCAUUCCUUUAUGGAAAUUAACUCGAAUUAUUUCAGUAAUAUAGUCAAAGGUAUUUAUCUUGCUUAACAAUGUGAAUGAAUGACAUUACUGAUAGGAUCAUUAUAUUACAUAUAGAUUAUACACGUAUAUCAUACACGUAAUUAAUUAUAUCUAAUUAAAUGUUAUAAUAAUAAUAAAUAUAUUUCAACAUACGAUUUAUCGAUAUUCUGUGUAGCAAAACUGACUAGAGAAUUAACCUGAAGUAUCAGGUUAAUUCGAGCUUUUAAUCAAGAUUUUUGAGUCAAUGAAAUUAAGAUCAAAUUCUGUGGCAGAUUGAAAAUAUUCAAAUGUCGUAGAUAAUUGAAGGAAUAGCAAAUAUCGACUAACAUUUCAGUUUGCAGUUAUAACAUCGACAUCGCGUAGAUUUACGCCCGUUACAGACAGAUAUCACUCACUCGGAAUAAAUAUGAAAUGGAUCGUUACAAUUUCCCAAUGCAUGUUUAUUUGUUUUUUCCUUCUUUGUCUUUUUUCUCCCUUUAAUCUCUUUCUUUUAAUUCUUUUUCUGUUUUCCUUUGUUCUGAUUUUAAUUUUUUUUAAUUUUCUUUUCCUCUUUUAGAUUUUAAUCUUUCUUUUGAUUCUAAUUUAUUUUGUAAUCUUUUUCGUUUUUUUCUUUUUGGUAGUAAUAUCUUUUUCUCCUGCAAAGGGUUAAUUUAAACUUUUUGCUAAAUAUUUACAUCUGUAUUAUAGACGUUAUGGGUACAGGUCCGUUAUAGUUAUUCAUUAAUAUUAAUACAUACAAACAUAUACAACUACAUGUACAUAUGUAUGACCAUCCAAUGUAGCCAAACUUUAUAAUGUCGAAACUAAAGGUGCUAAUUUUGUUUCUUACGUAUCCACUUAUAUGUGAGUACUUACACGUAAUUUAAAAAAUGUUUUAAACCAAACUCCUUCAACAUGUGAGUAAGGGUCGAAGUGAAACAAAAAUAAAAUGAAAGAAAAAAACGAAUACGAGAAAGUAUACGGAAAUAGUAUGAGAAUAAGUGAGAUGGAUCGUUAACUUCACUUAUUUCAUUACGUUUUCGUUCUUCCAGUUCAUAGAAGAAAAAGAAAGAGCGAAAGAGAUACAGCAGAGUAUAGA